UUGGGGCAUAGGGUUUAGGUUUUAGGGUUUUAGGGUAUAGGGUUUAGGGUAUAGGGUUUAGGGUUUAGGGUAUAGGGUUUAGGGUAUAGGGUUUAGGGUAUAGGGUUUAGGGUAUAGGGUUUAGGGUUUAGGGUUUAGGGUAUAGGGUUUAGGGUUUAGGGUUUAGGGUUUAGGGUAUAGGGUUUAGGGUUUAGGGUAUAGGGUAUAGGGUAUAGGGUAUAGGGUUUAGGGUUUAGGGUAUAGGGUAUAGGGUUUAGGGUUUAGGGUUUAGCGUUCUAGGGUUUUAGGGUUUAGGCGUUUAGGGUUUAGGUUUAGGUUUUAGGGUUUAUGGUUAGGUUUAGGGCUUUAGGUUUGAGGGUUUAGGUUUAGGGUUUAGGGUUUAGGUUUUAGGGUUUUAGGGUUUAGGUUUAGGUUUAGGGUUAGGUUUAGGUUUUAGGUUUUAGUUUAGGGUUUUAGGGUUUUAGGUUAGGGUUUAGGUUUAGUCCGUUUAGGUUUAGGUUUUUAGGUUUAGGGUUUUAGGGUUUAGGGUUUAGGUUAGGUUAGGUUAGGGUUUAGGUGUAGGGUUUAGGGUUAGGGUUAGGUUUAGGGGUUUAGGGUUAGGGUUUAGGGUUUAGGGGUUUAGGGUUUAGGGUUUAGGUUGGUAGGGUUGUUAGGUUUAGGGUUAGGGUUUAGGGUUGGGUUAGUUAGGGUUUAGGGUUUAGGGUUUAGGGUUUUAGUUUAAGGGUUUAGGGUUUAGUUUUAGGGGUUAGGUUUAGGUUUAGGGUUAGGGUUUAGGUUUAGUAGGGUUUUAGUUUAGGGUUUAGGUUAGGGUUUAGGUUAGGGUUUAGGGUUUAGGGUUUAGCGGUUUAGGGUUUAGGUUUUAGGGUUAGGUUAUUUUAGUGGGUUUAUGGUUUAGGUUUAGGGUUAGGUUAGGUUUAGGUUUAGUUUAGGUUAGGGUUAGGGUUUAGGGUUUAGGGUGUUAGGUUUAGGUUUAGGGUUUAGGGUUUAGGGUUUAGGUUUAGGUUUAGUAGGGUUUAGGGUUAGUUUAGGGUUUAGUUUAGGGCUUUAGGUUUAGGUUUUAGGGUUUAGGUUAUUUUAGGUUUAUUUAGUUUAGGUUUAGGGUUUAGUUUAGGUUUAGGUUUUAGGUUUAGGGUUAUGGUUAGUUAGUUUAGUGUUUAGUUUUAGUUUAGGGUUUAGGUUUAGGUUUAGGUUUAGUUUAGUUAGGGUUGUUAGGGUUUAGGUUUAGGGUUUUAGGGUUUAGGGUUUAGUUUAGUAGGGUUUAGUUAUUUAGGGUUUAGGGUUUAGGUUUAGCGGUUUAGGGUUUAAGGUUUCUAGGGUUUAGGUUUAGGGUUUCAGGUUAGCGGUUAGGUAGGGUUUAGGGUUUAGGGUUUAAGGGUUUACGGUUUAGGGUUUAGGGUUUAGGGGUUUAGGGUUUCUAGGGGUUUAGGGUUAGGUUUAGGGGUUUAGGGUUUAGGUUUUGUAGUUUAGGGUUUUAGGUUUAGGGUUUAGUGUUUAGGAGUUUAGGUUUUUAGGGUUAGGGUUUAGGGUUUAGGGUUUAGGGUUUAGGGUUUGAGUUGUAGUUUUUAGGGUUUAGGGUUUUAGGGUUUAGGGCUUUUAGGCGUUUUAGGUUCUAGGUUUAGGGUUAGGGUUUUAAGGUUCUAGGGUUUAGCGGUUUGGGUUUAGGGUUUUAGGGUUUAGGGUUAGGGUUUUAGGUUUUUAGGUUUAGGGUUUAGUGUUUAGGGUUUAGGUUUAGGCGUUUUAGGGUUUAGGUUUAGGGGUUUCAGGGUUUUAGGGUUUAGGUUUAGGUUUUUAGGGUUUAGGGUUUAGGGGUUUUAGGUUUUUUAGGGUUUAGGGGUUUAGGUUUUAUGGUUUAGCGGUUUAGGGUUUAGGGUUUAGGGUUUAGGGUUUAGGUUAGGGUUUUAGGGUUAGGGUUUAGGGUUAGGGUUUAGGGUUUAGGGUUUAGGGUUCUAGAGGUUUAGGGUUUAGGGUUUAGGGUUUUAAGGUUUAGGGUUUAGGGUUAGAGUUUAGGGUUUAGGGUUUAGGGUUUAGGGUUUAGGGUUUAGGGUUUUAGGUUUAGGGUUUAGGUUUAGGUUUAGGUUUAGGGGUUUAGGGUUUAGGUUUAGUUAGGGUUUAUAUGGGUUUAGGGUUUAGGGUUUAGCGGUUUUAGGGUUUAGGGUUUAGCGGUUUUUAGGGUUUUAGGGUUUUAGGGUUUACGGGUUUAGGGUUUAGGGUAGGGUUUAGUGUUUAGGGUUAGGGUUUAGGGUUUAGUUUUUUAGGGUUUAGGGUUCUAGGGAUUUAGGUUAGGGUUUUAGGUUUAGGUUUAGGGUUUAGGGUUUACGGGUUUAGGGUUUAGGGUUUAGGGCUUUAGGGUUAGGGUUUAGGUUUAGGGUUAGGGUUUAGUUUAGGGUUUAGUUUAGGUAUAGGGUUUAGGUUUAGAGGUUUAGGGUGGUUAGGGUUUAGGGUUAGGUUUAGGUUUAGGGUUUAGGGUUUAGGGUUUAGGGUAUUUUUUUUAGGGUUUAUGUGGUUUAGCGUUAGGGUAUAGGGUUUAGUUUUAGGGUUUAGGGUUUUAGGUUUAGGGUUUAGCGGCUUUAGGUUUAGGGUUAGGUUUAGGUUUAGGGUUCUAGGUUUAGGUUUGGGUUUUAGGUUAGUUUAGGUUUAGGUUUAGGUUUAGGCGUUUAGGGUUUAGUUAAGGUUUAGGGUUUAGGGUUAGGGUUAGUUUUAGGUUUAGGGUUUACCUCCGCUCAUGUUUAGGGUUUAGUGGUUUUAGGUUUAUUAGGGUUUAGGGGUUUUAGGGUUUAGGGUUUAGGGUUAGGUUUAGGGUUUAUGGUUUGGGUUUUAGGGGUUUAGGGGUUUUAGGGUUUUAGGGUUUAGGGUUUUAGGGUUUUUUAGGGUUUAGGGUUUUAGUGUUAGGGUUUAGGGUUUAGGUGUAGGGUUUAGGUUUUAGGUUUAGGUUUAGGGUUUAGGGUUUUAGUAGGUUUUAGGGUUUAGGGUUUUAGGGUUUAGGUUUAGGUUAGGGUUUUAGGGUUUGAGGUUUAGGUGUUACGGGUUUAGGUUUAGGUUUAGGUUUAGGGUUUAGGGUUUAGGUUUAGGGUUUUUAGGUUUAGGGUUUAGGUUUAGGGUUAGGGUUUUAGGGUUUAGGGUUUAGGGUUUAGGGAUUUAGGGUUUAGGGUUAGGGUUUAGGGUUUAGGGUUUUAGGUUUAGGGUUAGCGGUUUAGGUUUUAGUCGUUCUAGGGUUUAGGGUUAGGGUUUAGGGUUUAGGUUUAGGGUUUUUAGGGUUUAGGUUUAGGGUUUAGGUUUAGGGUUUAGGUUUAGGUUUAGUUUAGGGUUUAGGGGUUUUAGGGUGUUAGGUUUAGGGUUAGGUUUAGGUUAGGUUUUAGGUUUAUGUUUAGGUUAGGGUUUUAGCGUUUAGGGUUUAGGGUUUAGGCGUUUAGGUUUAGGGUUUUAGGGUUUUAAGGGUUUAGGGUUUUAGGGUGUUAGGGUUAGGGUUUAGGGGUUUUAGGGUUAGGGUUUAGGGUUUAGGUAGGUUUAGGGUUUAGGGUUUAGGUUUUAGGGUUUAGGGUUUUAGCGGGUUUAGGGUUUAGGGUUAGGGUGUAGGGUUUAGGGUUUAGGGUUG
rnacentral:lncRNA from 1 species